CUAAAUUUGAUUAUAAUUUUUUCCUUCAGGUAACAUUCUGAGAAGCAAAUAUUACAAAUAAAUUGUGAAUGUAAAUGAAAAACAUUACACAGACUUCCAUCAUUACCGAAAAUAUGCCCCUAAGUAUAUUUCCUCCUUUUUAAUUAUUUUUUUAUGCUUUGGUGUUAUGUUUUAAAAUCAUUUUAUCAUUUUCCUUCCAAAAAUUCAUUAAGAUCCAUGUAUAUUAGUUUGAAUUUGAAUUUCUAGAUGAGCUGCUAGAUCAUAAGUGUUAGAAAAUGAUUCCUUGAAAUUAACAAGAGCAUUAUGAUAGCAUCAUAUUUAUGCUGUGGCAAGAAAUAUGAAAUCUUUUCUGUUUGCUUUUUUGUGUGCAUACGUUUCCCUCCAUCCCACAACACACAUACACACCCUUGUACCAAACAAAAAAACGAAGACUCUGGGAGCCUUGAGAUAAUCUUUGGCCAUUAACAGAAUUUUGACUGUUAAAUAUUAGUGUACACCAUUUAAUAAAUGAGUUCUGAUUCCUUUCUGUGAAUUUAAGUUCCAUAUGUCAUAAAUUUUAUUCAGAAGAAUUUAAUUUUUAAAAUCUUUAAAAUCAUAUGCUAAAGAAAAAUGUUAUCUAAGAUAAAUAAUCAGUGAAUCAUUUGUGAUUCACUGAUUUAUAUAAAUUUUUAUAAACUUGCAUUUUCCAUUAUUUUAUGCAAGUGUACCAGGUUUCUAAGCCGGAGCUAUAAAAUGAAGACAAAUCAGACAUGAAUUUAUACUUUACAAAAUUAUUGCAAGUCAAAAGCAUCAGAGGCAAAGAUUUUAGCAGUCAGAUAUAUUGAUUUUAAAUUCUAACCCAGCCUGAGCAAAAUAUGUAACUGUUUUCACUCUUGUAUGUCCAUCCAAGAAAUGAGGAUAUUACUUACUGAAAAGAGUAGACAAAUAAAUAUGUAAGUUUGUUGAAGAAUGUGAAACUUUAUAAAUUUAACAAAUUAUCACUGGUCUCUUCGUGGUAAACAGUUCCCCUGGUAUAUGAGAAAUAGAAAGUGUAUAAAAGAGUAUGUAAAAAUAUUUGGAUUCCGAAAAGACUUAGAAAACAUACCUUCAUUAGAAACAUAAACUAGUUAUCAAAGAAAGUAUGAAAUGUGCUCCUAACUUUUAGAAUCUUGAGCUUUUGCUGGUAUUUAUUUUCCACCCUAUAUUAUUUAGCGGGGAUUCCCAGGAGGCAUAGUGAUAAAAAAUAUACCUGCUAAUGCGGGGGACUCGAGAGAUGUGGGUUUGAUCCCUGGGUCAGGAAGAUCCCUUGGAGAAGGAAA
rnacentral:lncRNA from 1 species